rnacentral:rRNA from 1 species
AUUGAACGCUGGCGGCAUGCCUUACACAUGCAAGUCGAACGGUAACGCGGGGCAACCUGGCGACGAGUGGCGAACGGGUGAGUAAUGCAUCGGAACGUGCCCAGAAGUGGGGGAUAGCCCGGCGAAAGCCGGAUUAAUACCGCAUGAGACCUGAGGGUGAAAGCGGGGGAUAGCAAGACCUCGCGCUUUUGGAGCGGCCG